rnacentral:lncRNA from 1 species
UCCUCACCCUAUUUUAUGUUCACAGUUCUCUUGAAGUCCUAAAAUAUUCAAUUAACUUAGGCAAACACAUCUUAGAUUGUGCUGCUGGAGCGCACUUUCUCUUCGGAUACCUACAUUCGGUAGAUUUCCUCUUAGAUAAAAUACUUACAUCCUCUCAUUUCUCAUAGAAAGCACCCAUGCUGAAACCAUCUGGACUCACAUAAUUACGUUUCCAUCAGCUCUGACUCUGACUCAAAGACAUGUAUGUUUAAGCCGGUGUGAACCAAGUGUACCUGACCGAAACUGCUGCUCACUGUUGGAACCUUUCUGCUCAGCUGAGAAGAAUGUCUGCGGCAAGACUUUCAAUAGCAUUCACAGGUUUAAUUAUGCAUAUACACGAGUUAAUUGGUAUUAUCUCACAUUUAGUAUUUACAGUAAUUAGAAAACACUUUACCUAUCUAUUCACUAGCUGUCAAAGGGAGAGAAAUCGAGUCUCUCUCGCAGUGAGAAGGGCUGAUCACAAGAGCUUUGGCUCUGCCUCUUCUCUGCAUCCACUCCUGUGGGACAUCAAUGAGCCAGGCCACCUGGCCCGCCGGAGCACUCCUGGGCUGGCACGCAGCCUCGGGGCACUUUGGAGCAUCCAGCAUUAACCUGCAGGACAAGGCCCUAGGGACAACCUUGCUCUAGAAAAUCAAAUCUGCACUGGCAAUGCUGACAUCAGUGAUGCGCUUACAAAGAAUAGGAUGCAAAGUAAUAAGAACUUUGAAGAGCUCCAAUCCAGUUCUCCAAAUGAGCUCCAGACACGCCGAACAACACGCCCAUGUCACUCAGAACCCACAAGACUUCCACACGCUCAUGCACAGGAAGACUCCAGAAGGCAUGGUGAAAACAAAAGCGAGAAUUUGUCACAUAUACAACUGGUCAAUGCAGUACCUCUUUCAAGGAAAAUUAAGAGCUGAGUCUAAGCACUGAUAGGCUAAGUAACUGAAGUUUGGACUGAGGAGGUAGCUCAGUGACAGACCACCUGCCUGCAGGCACAAGGCCCUGGGGAGCUAAGA